rnacentral:rRNA from 1 species
GAUGAAUGCUGGCGGCGUGGAUGAGGCAUGCAAGUCGAAUGGGUUUAGGCCCAUGGCAGACGAGGUAGGAACACGUAGGUACGUACCCAAGAGUCAGGGAUAACCCGUCGAAAGGCGGUACAAUACUUGAUGGUCCCUUCGGGGUAAAGAUUUAUCGCUCUUGGAACGGCCUGCGGGCUAUCAGCUUGUUGGUAAGGUAACGGCUUACCAAGGCUACGACGGCUAGGGGGAGGUGAGAGCCUGACCCCCACCGAUGGAACUGCGACACGGUCCAUACUCCUACGGGAGGCUGCAGUCGAGAAUCUUCCGCAAUGGACGAAAGUCUGACGGAGCGACGCCGCGUGGUGGAUGAAGUCCCUCGGGACGUAAACACCUUUUAUGAGGGAGGAAGUUUAUUGACGUUACCUCAUGAAUAAGGGGCUCCCAACUCUGUGCCAGCAGCCGCGGUAA